GCCAGCAUAGCUCAGGGGUUAGAGCAACUCUUUCGUAAAGAGGAGGUCGGGGGUUCAAAUCCCUCUGUUGGCU
rnacentral:tRNA from 1 species